CAGGGAGACAACAAAAUGUUUAAUAUUAUUAUUUUGUCACCUUAGGUCGAUCGGUAUCUCACAUGCUUAAUUUAUUAAGGAUUUCAUUUCCUAAGUUUUUCUAGGUCACACCCAUUAUUUUUCCUGGGCCAUUAGCUCAGGUGGUUAGAGCGCACCCCUGAUAAGGGUGAGGUCCCUGGUUCAAGUCCAGGAUGGCCCAUAUCUCUAUGUUGGGGGUAUAGCUCAGUUGGUAGAGCGCCUGCUUUGCAAGCAGGAUGUCAGCGGUUCGAGUCCGCUUACCUCCACUGAUUACCACCUCUUCCAUAACUUAUAAACAAGGAAAAGUUUUGUUUUGUGAUUAAAUCUGAACGAAUCUAGCUUCCUAAUGGAAUCAUUAAGAUGCUGGACUCAUUGAAUUAAUUUCAUUGUUUUCAGAGAACCUUGACAACUGCAUAGAUUAUUUUUAAAGACAAUAAGCAUCUUUGUGAUGCAGAUUUUUUAUUUGUGCGAAUGCAUUAAUAACAAUUCUAUUAAGCUGAUGCUUCAAUUAUUGAAGUUAUU
rnacentral:tRNA from 1 species